rnacentral:rRNA from 1 species
UACGAAGGGGGCUAGCGUUGCUCGGAAUCACUGGGCGUAAAGCGCACGUAGGCGGCUUUUUAAGUCAGGGGUGAAAUCCUGGAGCUCAACUCCAGAACUGCCUUUGAUACUGGCGAUCUUGAGUCCGGGAGAGGAGAGCGGAAUUCCCAGUGUAGCGGUGAAAUGCGUAGAUAUUGGGAGGAACACCAGUGGCGAAGGCGGCUCUCUGGACCGGUACUGACGCUGAGGCACGAAAGCGUGGGGAGCAAACAGG